GGACAGGUAGCUCAGACGGUAGAGCGGAUAGCUGAAAGCCAUCGCGUCGCAGGUUCAAUUCCUCGCCCUGUCCACCA
rnacentral:tRNA from 1 species